rnacentral:rRNA from 1 species
GACGAACGCUGGCGGCGUGCUUAACACAUGCAAGUCGAACGGAAAGGCCUGCUUUCCCUUGUGGAUUGCGGGUACUCGCGUGGCGAACGGGUGAGUAACACGUGAGUGAUCUGCCCCCAACUUGGGUAUAAGCCUGGGAAACUGGGUCUAAUUCCCGAUAGGACUGCAGGGUGGUGCCUGUGGUGGAAAACGAUUUUCUAGUGGUUGGGGAUGAGCUCGCGGCCUAUCAGCUUGUUGGUGGGGUAAUGGCCUACCAAGGCGGCGACGGGUAGCCGGCCUGGGAGGGUGGACGGCCACAUUGGGACGGAGAUACGGCCCAGACUCCUACGGGAGGCAGCAGUGGGGAAGAUUGCACAAUGGGCGGAAGCCUGAUGCAGCGACGCUGCGUGGGGGAUGACGGCCUUCGGGUUGUAAACUCCUUUCGACCGCGAGGAAGCCACCUGGUUGGAAGGGUGGUGACGGUAGUGGUAGAAGAAGCACCGGCUAACUACGUG